rnacentral:rRNA from 1 species
GAUGAACGCUGGCGGCGUGCCUAAUACAUGCAAGUCGAGCGAACAGACGAGGAGCUUGCUCCUCUGACGUUAGCGGCGGACGGGUGAGUAACACGUGGAUAACCUACCUAUAAGACUGGGAUAACUUCGGGAAACCGGAGCUAAUACCGGAUAAUAUAUUGAACCGCAUGGUUCAAUAGUGAAAGACGGUUUUGCUGUCACUUAUAGAUGGAUCCGCGCCGCAUUAGCUAGUUGGUAAGGGAACGGCUUACCAAGGCAACGAUGCGUAGCCGACCUGGGAGGGUGAUCGGCCACACUGGAACUGAGACACGGUCCAGACUCCUACGGGAGGCAGCAGUAGGGAAUCUUCCGCAAUGGGCGAAAGCCUGACGGAGCAACGCCGCGUGAGUGAUGAAGGUCUUCGGAUCGUAAAACUCUGUUAUUAGGGAAGAACAAAUGUGUAAGUAACUAUGCACGUCUUGACGGUACCUAAUCAGAAAGCCACGGCUAACUACGUGCCAGCAGCCGCCGCAG